GCAGUUAAACUGCGUGGGCAGCUGCUGUGGUCCCCACCUCGUUCCUGAGCAUCAUGGAGAGAGGACUGUGUGAGCCGAGACGGGCAGGAUGCAGGAACAACCACAAAAACACAGAUGAAAUGCAAAGAGGGUUGAAGCAGGCAUAUUGCGCUUUGAUCUUCUCGGACAGCAGGGCAGGAGUCUCAGGCAUGUUCGAUAAGGCGCUCCUGAGUCCAUCACAGGCCUGCGUUAUCUAAGUGUGGAUGUUCUGCUUGUCAAGCACAUAAGACUAAACAAUGAUUAGUGUGAUAUAUGUGUUUUCCAACACCCCAGGUGCAAGUCAUGGGAGCGUAUUUACAAUCCUCCUCACCAAUCUUCUGUUACUUUCCCAGAAGGACCAACCCCUCCAGCUCCGGGGCUGACUGACCCAGGUUGUCACCUCUUGAACAUGGGCUCUUAACUUCUCCGGGCCUUGUUGCCAAAGCCAAAGGGCAGCGCUUCAGCCCCAGAGGGCUCUGGGAGCAUGUCCUUAUAAAGCCCAUGUUUCUGAUCUAGUUCUGGGUCAGCGAGCUCCUGCAAGAAAAAUCUAAGUAUUGUUUUUGCAGGGGAACAACUUGGCCAGUCUGCAAUGACAUAGCUGGAGAAAAGAAAGCUCAUCCUUUAGACAAAGGAGAAACCAGUCUAUGCUGGAUCGGUAGUUUAACGGGAGGAUGAAUUUUUAACUGAGACCAGCAACCGUGGGCAAUAACAACAAAAAAAGGAAGAAAUAAACAGGUGAAAUAAGAGGUUUAGGAAGGGUGAUGGGGAGAAGUAAACAGAGGCAGAGCGAACGGAAGUAGUUUUAGGCGAUCGGACAGGCUGUAAACCCUGGAGUACCUAGCCAAUGGGGAAACGAGGGAGGGAAACUUCGGCCAGGAAUAGGGAAUAAAAAGAAGUUAUUUCGGGAACUCUGGUGUGCCUACCUGCUAGGUCACACCUAGGUCACACUGUUCUUGCAAGAGUGUUUAAAUAAAAUGUGCUUCAUAUCGA